rnacentral:lncRNA from 1 species
UGGGAUGUUACAUAUAUUUGCUUAUUAUAGGAUACACUGAGAAUAUCUACCUAUAGAAGAGAUCCUUUAUGAUCAAGAUGAGUUGUGAAGAUUAAAAUCAACACUAUUUUUGUUGCAUAAUGUGCUUGUUUUAAUGAUUCUAUGAAUUGUAUCGGAUGGUAUAAGUCAUGGAGGAUUUAGAAUACACUAGGUAUUAUGCAGAACAUGCAUGAACGUAUUUGUAAUAUUACUUAAGGUGUUUGAUCUUAUUAUUAUACUAACGGAUCUCACGAAGUUUCUGUUGAGUUUUGUGUGCUGAAGUUUUCAUGUUUUAGGUGAGAUUACGAUGGAUGAAGUAAUAAGGAGCAACUAUACCCUUAGCUUGGAGAGGCCCAGGGCACCCCAAUCUAUCAUCGAAAUUACUAGCCCGUGCAGUCGCACAGGUUGACGGCUAGUACUCUUAAACAUAUACUCCAUUUCUUCCCGCCUUAAUGUUCUACUUUCUCAUAUAAAUCUUAUACCGCUCGAGAUCAAUAGACAAAUAAUGGCGUCUUUCUCUUCGCAAGUCAUUAAAUGCAUGUCCGCAACCCGAUGAGAUGUAGCUUGCUAUUCUCGGUCGGGAACUUGAUCUAGAGGCCCACUAGAUUAAGUUCUGGUUCUUGAACCAACAUAAGUGAAUGAAGGUGUGUGCCAUGGACUGAAUCUCUUGAUUGUCCUAAGUUUCUAUUAUUAUUUUUACAU